rnacentral:lncRNA from 1 species
GGGUGUAUAAUGGGAAUAACAUCUGGUUUGUUUCUCAGGGUGUAUAAUGGGAAUAACAUCUGGUUUGUUUCUCAGGGUGUAUAAUUGGAAUAACAUCUGGUUUGUUUCUCAGGGUGUAUAAUGGGAAUAUGGCAGUGUGUCUCUGACAGUCACUUAGGGAGAUACUGUAUCUCUCUACACACACACACACACACACACACACACACACACACACACACACACACACACAGAGUGAUGGCAGGCCGUGGGGAAGUUGUUUUGGCCCUCAGCCAGGUCAUUUACUAGAGCGAUUCAAGUUUUACGUUUUAAUGUUAAAAUGCAGUGAAGACAGUGAAAAGCCUUUCCUGCUCUAAACCCAACGAUGCGGUGACCAACGUCAAUACAAAACACAACAGGUAAGAAGCCACUCUGAACGUCAAUACAAAACACAACAGGUAAGAAGCCACUCUGAACGUCAAUACAAAACACAACAGGUAAGAAGCUACUCUGAACGUCAAUACAAAACACAACAGGUAAGAAGCCACUCUGAACGUCAAUACAAAACACAACAGGUAAGAAGCUACUCUGAACGUCAAUACAAAACACAACAGGUAAGAAGCUACUCUGAACGUCAAUACAAAACACAACAGGUAAGAAGCCGCUCUGAACGUCUAAAUGUUGACUCUCCCUCUCUUCUCCUCAUCUCUUCUCUCUCUACUCCUGUCUCCUCUCCCCUGUCUUUUCUCUCCUCUCCUCUCCUUUCCUCUAUCUGAAGGUGACAGUGUGGAACCAGACUCCAAUCACUCUGUUUCGCUCUGUUCCUAUUGAGAGGCGCACACACACCCUGCUUCCCAAACACCCACACCAGACAGACAGACAGACAGACAGACAGACAGACAGACAGACAGACAGACAGACAGACAGACAGACAGACAGACAGACAGACAGACAGACAGACAGACAGACAGACAGACAGACAGACACCCUCGUAUCCAUCAGCAGAAUCAGCUCUGACAGAAACAAACUGCUGAUUUAAAUUUCAGCCUCAAAGUAGUCCAGUGUGUGUGUGUGUGUGUGUGAGAAUGUCCUGUGUGUGUGU